UACGAAGGGUGCUAGCGUUGUUCGGAAUUACUGGGCGUAAAGGGCGCGUAGGCGGCUUUCCAAGUCAGGGGUGAAAUCCCGGGGCUCAACCCCGGAAUUGCCUUUGAAACUGGAAAGCUAGAGUGUCGGAGGGGAUAGCGGAAUUGCUAAUAUAGAGGUGAAAUUCGUAGAUAUUAGCAGGAACACCGGUGGCGAAGGCGGCUAUCUGGACGACAACUGACGCUGAGGCGCGAAAGCAUGGGGAUCAAACAGG
rnacentral:rRNA from 1 species